AAGGNAGCGCAAUCAAUUGUCCCAUAAAUCGGGACUUGUAUGAAUGGCUAAACGAGGUCUCAACUGUCUCUUGCAGAUAAUCAAUGAAAUUGAUCUUCCUGUGCAAAAGCAGGAAUAUAAACAUAAGACGAGAAGACCCUGUGGAACUUAAAAACCAAGGAUCAAUGCACUCCCACCCAAACCUACUAAGGCUCACCACUCCUGCAACCAACUGAUCCUCGUUUUUUGGUUGGGGCGACCUUGGAGAAAAAAGAAUCCUCCAAAAACAAGACCACAACUCUUAACUAAGAGCCACUCCUCAAAGUGCCAACAGCGACCAGACCCAAUAUAAUUGAUUAAUGGACCAAGCUACCCCAGGGAUAACAGCGCAAUCUCCUUCAAGAGCCCCUAUCGACAAGGAGGUUU
rnacentral:rRNA from 1 species